rnacentral:rRNA from 1 species
ACGCUGGCGGCGUGCUUAACACAUGCAAGUCGAGCGGAAAGGCCCUUUCGGGGGGUACUCGAGCGGCGAACGGGUGAGUAACACGUGAGUAAUCUGCCCUUGGCUUUGGGAUAACUACCGGAAACGGUGGCUAAUACCGGAUAUGACCAUGCUCGGCAUCGGGUGUGGUGGAAAGUUUUUUCGGCCAGGGAUGUGCUCGCGGCCUAUCAGCUUGUUGGUGGGGUAAUGGCCUACCAAGGGCUUCGACGGGUAGCCGGCCUGAGAGGGUGACCGGCCACACUGGGACUGAGACACGGCCCAGACUCCUACGGGAGGCAGCAGUGGGGAAUAUUGGACAAUGGGCGGAAGCCUGAUCCAGCAACGCCGCGUGAGGGAUGACGGCCUUCGGGUUGUAAACCUCUUUCAGUACCGACGAAGCGCCGAUGAUGGUGGUGACGGUAGGUACAGAAGAAGCACCGGCCAACUACGUG